AGGCAGUCCAAAACUUGGAUCCAUGCUGGAUACUGAGAUACAUGAAUCUAGUAGUCUCCUCUUCCUUGUGGAGGGUUUAUAUUAUGAGAUUAAUUUAAUAUAACAGAUUAAAUUACAGAAACAUCCUGGAACAGGCUGAGUGAAUAGCCCAUGAUAAGACAGCUGCAUUCAGGAACAUCUGGGUGAUGUUAGUACCAGAGAUCAAGAAAAUGUACAUCCAGCAUUAUAACAUUAAUAGGUCCCAGAGACACAGACGAGGUUUUCAUCUCGAGGCCAAAAGACCAAAAACAUCAAGACACUUGAUCACGGCCUUGGAUAGACCAAGAGACUACUCACACUUGAUCUGAGCUCAUAGAGCCGAGUACAUUUCCCUUAAGUUGACCAAAAAGGGCCUUUGAAAAAGAGAAUCUACAGAAGGACAGCAAUAGAGCAAAGGAUCAGGUACCUCUGUUUAGCUCUCAUGCAAUGUGACUUUCUAGUGAGUUAUAAUUUGUCAAAUUUGGUAUAAAGCAACUUUUUAAACUAGUUCUUGACUUAAAUUACAUUAAUAAUAUCCCCCCUAAAAAAAAUUCUUUCAAGCAUUACCAUUAACAAAAAUAAUAAUAAUAAUAAUAUUUGGCAGUUUCUCUAUAGAUAGAAAAGAGCAUAUGAAAUAAUGUUGGGUAUUUUGCCAAGUCUGUCAAAUGAGUAACACUUCCACUUUCUCAGCUCUGUCUCAUUAAAAUUGUAUUCUAAUUCUGUCUCAACUUGGUCUCUCUGCUUCAUAAGUCAUUGCCUGCUCAUUACUUGUAGUGUGAGAGAUGAAAUUUAUUCAAACUUCAUAGCAGGGAUAAAGAAUUGAAAGGCAGGCAGCUGGGAGAAAUGAAAUUAGCUUAUUUUAAUGUUUUUUCGAGAAGACCUUUUCAUAGCCAUGGGUUAACAUAAGUGUCAGUUUGGAUUUGUGGCGCUAUCUUUGUUUAGUUGUUUGGGGUUUUUUUUAAAUACACAGCAUUUGAAACACUGAUAUAUGCUUUCAUUUGUCAUAUCAGUGAAAUAAUGUUCAAUAUCUAUGUUGAUAAUGGGGUCACAUAUUUGCUACAAUAUUCUGUAAUUAUGCAAUCAUUAUAAUUGUCCAACAAAGACUAAAUUUUUGCUAUUGUUUAUUAGAUUCUACUGCAGAAUCCCUAAGUGAAUGCUAUACACUGUCAAUGGUUUUGGGCAAAUUAUAUAAAAUGUAAUAUAAUUUACAAGCAAUUUAAUGUGGAAUACAGAAGGGAGCUGAGCUUUCUAGCCCAAAUAUUCUAUCUCAAGCUUUGAAUGUCAAAAGAAUGCAUUAAGGGAUUUCUAAUUUUGAAUAUAGGAGAGCAUUAGGAGCAAAUUGACUAAAAGCACAGUGCUUUUCCAUUAUAAAAUUGAGUUGUUAAGGAAUUAUAUGGUCUAAUUACUGAACUUGGUAUUUUUGACUACUUGGAUUAUGAACAGAUAUUGUCAUUAACUAGCUAAUUAAAUUGACUGCAAUAACAAGCAGUAAUUUAGAAAUAUGUUCUAAAUUAGUUUUUAUAUGAAAGCAAAGUCUUUGUUGAUCUGUGUAUAUGAUUAGUGUCAAGUGUCAUGAAUUAGCUCAGAGAUCUCUGUGGAGGA